rnacentral:lncRNA from 1 species
AUGGAACACGAAAUAGCAGUCAAUGUACGAGAGGACCACGGCUUGUUUUUCAAAAUGGUACGACUAGCAAUUACAAACGAGGCAUCUAUGGCUAUAAGGGGUAGCGAUGAAAACUGGCCCAUGGUAAGGAAAACAUUGUUUGAACUUUACGGGUCGCGAAAAACGAUUACUGAAGUAGAAAGGAAUCUGUUGGAAGCAAAACAAGGUAAUGAUGAGUCCGUAGACGCUUACGCAGCGCGCAUACGUCGUUUAUCAAUAAAUUACAUGGCUGUACUAAAGAAAACGUAUGGGGCCGAGGCCGUAGAUAGGAGGAUGAUUAAUGAUCGCGUGAAAGAUUAUUUUGUCAGGGGGUUGAAUACAGCAGUGUACCAAUCAGUUAUUCACGGAAACUUUGCUGAUUUAGCGGAAGCACAAGCCGCGGCCAGCAGGAUAGAGCGAGAAUUCGCGAGCCGCGCGGAUAUGAUAACUCCAGCUUUUGCUAAAAAUCAUGGUAUAAAUUACAAAUCGCAGGCGUACCAACCGCCUACCUGUUAUCGUUGCAAUGAGAAAGGGCACCUAGCCCGGGACUGCGACGCCCCACGGGCAAAUGUAACUUUAGCUGGGGGCUCAAUCAACAGAGCAUGGGGGAGCCGAACUCCCCUGUAAACUUUAACUCAGGGGCAAGUGCGCCUUAUCAAUAUGCAAAUUCUGUACAAGGUACUCAAAAUUUACUAGUGAGCGAGCGCCGGCGCAGAACUUUUUACAGCCGCAAAACAAAAUUAGGGCCCCUGAAUUUAUCAGUUCCGCCGCGGUAACACCGCAGAAUAAUGAAACGUACUGUGAUUACUGUUUCCGCAACAAUCAUACUAGGGCUUCAUGCCGGCAGUUGCAGAAGAACUUAGAAAGGGUAGUCUCUGAACGCCAAGGUCAAGGUUCUACAUAUCAGAGGCGCGAUCGGCCCAUAUGCGGUUUUUGCCAAAAAGUAGGCCAUACCAGAGAAGAAUGCUUUAAACUGAAAAGACAGAUGCAGCAACAAAUGGGGGGCCUAUCCACUGAACAUAAUCAGCCGAUCUUUGGCUGCGACUACUGUUUCAUGACAAACCAUGUCAGAAGUAAUUGUUUCAAAUUACAGCGGGACCAGGAGCAUGCCAGGAAUGUUGCAGCAG